rnacentral:rRNA from 1 species
AUUGAACGCUGGCGGCAGGCUUAACACAUGCAAGUCGAGCGGGGGAAGGUAGCUUGCUACCGGACCUAGCGGCGGACGGGUGAGUAAUGCUUAGGAAUCUGCCUAUUAGUGGGGGACAACAUCUCGAAAGGGAUGCUAAUACCGCAUACGUCCUACGGGAGAAAGCAGGGGAUCUUCGGACCUUGCGCUAAUAGAUGAGCCUAAGUCGGAUGAGAUAGUUGGUGGGGUAAAGGCCUACCAAGGCGACGAUCCGUAGCGGGUCUGAGAGGAUGAGCCGCCACACUAGGAAUGAGGCACGGCCCAGACUCCUACGGGAGGCAGCAGUGGGGAAUAUUGGACAAUGGGGGGAACCCUGAUCCAGCCAUGCCGCGUGUGUGAAGAAGGCCUUAUGGUUGUAAAGCACUUUAAGCGAGGAGGAGGCUACUCUAGUUAAUACCUAGGGAUAGUGGACGUUACUCGCAGAAUAAGCACCGGCUAACUCUGUGCCAGCCGCCGCCGUAA